UGUCAUGUAAUAGCCGUGAUGGAGAUGAAACUGCUGGGGAGUGCAAAAUUGACUCAUUUAUACAAGUUAUAACCUGACCAACAGCAUUCACAGCAGCCCUAUCAAACUGUGCUUUGUGCUGGGGCAGUCUUGAACUCAAUCACUGCAGACAGAUUUCACUCAUUAUCCAUUGCUCUCUUUCAGGUACUUUGGACAUGCCAUUUUAUUAAUUUAAACAGAAUGCAACAAUCCUUUUCAUACUGUUUUUUGAGCCUUUUUUAGAAAGAUGCAUCGCAUAAGACUUUUUGUUUGAUGGUGCACAUUGAGAAGGCAUCUUUGCUGGACUGUUCACAAAGAUCUUGCCAGAUCCUGGCAGCCAGCUGUCAGAGAAUGCCAACCAAGUGAAUAUUAGCUGGUAGUUGCAUCCUGCAUCCAGAAAAGGAUUUCGGAUUUGAAAGAGAAAAGAUGAGGCUGCUGCAUGUUACCUGAGAGCUGCCACAGUAGAGAUUAGUACUGCCAGGCUGCACAACACAUUUCUUAGCACCUCCGGAGUAUUAACCAGUUUCAACAGGAAGCUGAUGUGCACCAUACCCUGCUGAAAGAAUCACGUUCCUGGUUGUGAAAGAUCUCCAAGGAAAACCUAACGCUUCAACUGGGACAUAGCCAUAAGGAAAAGAAUUUGGAUUUGUGGAAUGCUAAAAUCUCUUUUCCUUGCCAAAUGGGAAUUUUUUACCAGACAUGUACUUCCAAGACAAAAAUAAAGUUGAGACUUUGCAUUGUGCAGAAUUCAUAAUGAGCUGUAGAAACACAUUCAAAAUCCUUUCGUGAUCAUUUGAUCAAAUUUCAAGCAGAAAAAUAUAUGCAAAGGGGGUAUCUCUUAAGUAACUGUCCUUGUUAUUGCUAGGUGGGGUUUCAUUCAGAAGAGGAUGCAUCUACUUGCUACCAUGAAAAAUUAAUAAACUGAUCUUUUACCUUGUAGCAAAAAGCAGUAAUUUAACAAUAAUCCAUCUACUUUUGAGAGUGUAGAGAAGUAGCACAUAGGAAGAAAGACCUUUGUUAUAAAUACUGACUUACGUAUAUCCAAAACAAAUAAGUAAAAAUAAAUACAGUCAAACUUGAGAGCCUGUAAGGAACACUGAAAUACAAAGCUAUUUU